rnacentral:lncRNA from 1 species
AUGCGUUGGAGCAGCUCCAUUGCCAUGUUUGAUCUCAGAAGCAAACAGCUUUUAAGAGGCAUCCUCAAGAGAGAAGACAAUCCAUCACCGAUUUAUUUCCUAAUUGGUCAGAUAGUGGGAACAGUUCUUUGGUGUGUCUCUUGGUCUUUAAAGGUGAAUUUCAGCUUCCUGACUUUCUUAAAGAAGUGCCACAGACUGAACCCAUGGAAUAGAAGAUGCAAUGGAUAUUUCUUGCACAGAAGAAGAAGACUGCUGCCUUCUCAAUGGAAGUGAUGUUACAAGGACUGUCCCACUGAGAUCAAUGAGGUGUACUGCUCAUGGCCUGCUUUUCUCACAGUUCUCUCUCCAUUACUUUCAUGCUCUUUUCUUUUUGUUCAAGGUUUUGUUGUUGUGAGCGCAUGCAAACCUGUUAAAAAAAAAAAAAUACUAAAAAAGUCACUGUUAAAUGUAGAACCGUAUUACAUGUAAACAACUACUUCUGAG